rnacentral:rRNA from 1 species
UGGCGGACGGGUGAGUAACGCGUGGGUAACCUGCCCUGUACAGGGGGACAACAGUUAGAAAUGACUGCUAAUACCGCAUAAGCGCACAGGACCGCAUGGUCCGGUGUGAAAAACUCCGGUGGUACAGGAUGGACCCGCGUCUGAUUAGGUGGUUGGCGGGGUAACGGCCCACCAAGCCGACGAUCAGUAGCCGACCUGAGAGGGUGACCGGCCACAUUGGGACUGAGACACGGCCCAAACUCCUACGGAAGGCAGCAG